AUGGCGGGCGAGGAGUUAACUGAUAUCAUGGUAGACAUUGAGUUUGGAGAACUGAUGAAAGACUGGAUAGAAGAUUGGUCAGAUGAUGAAAAUUCAGAUCGUGAAGAUCAGUCAGAGAAUGGGAACGAAUGGAAUGAUCUUAAUAUCGAUGAGCUUGAUGAUGAUCAGGAAAACAACUCGGAGCUCUCGAAUGAAGAUUACAUUAGUCAGUUCAUUUCCGAAUGUCAUUAUGCGUACAACUAUUACGGUGAAUCCGACGCGGAGACAGGCCUUAACGACGAAUCAUUAGAUGCACCUGGUUCUGGGGAGUCCGAGUCAUCGGUCAUCAUGAGUGAGAUAAUGGAAAUGACCUUUACGUCUCACGAUGCUGCGUAUGAUUUCUACAACAGCUAUGCUAGAGAUAAUGGUUUCAGCCUUAGAAAGAAUAAGGUCAGAAAAAUCAAAGAGUACCAGAAGCAUGAGAUAAUGUCCAUGGGAGCUGCAGGGAUUAGAAUUCACGACAUGAUGGAUUGCUUCAUCAGCAAACAUGAGAAGAGGAAGCUGCUUUCAAAAGGUGAUGCUGCCACAGCCAUAGGCAUCAUGGCUAGUAGGAAACAGAGGGAUCCUAGCUUCUUUUUCGAGUACAGGCUAGAUAAGGAAGGACAUUUGAAUAGGAUGUUCUGGUGCGACUCCCGGUCUCGUCAUGACUAUGAGGACUUCGGCGACGUGCUUGUAUUUGACAGCACGUACAAGAUGAACUGCUAUGGUAUGCCAUUCAUACCUUUUGUUGGUCUUAACAAUCACCGGAAGACCACUGUUUUUGGUUGUGCCAUAGUUUUGGACGAGACCAAGGAGACAUACGUGUGGCUUCUGCAGACUUUUUUGAGGUCCAUGUGUCAAAAGAUGCCUAAGAGUGUUAUCGCAGACGCCGAUGCUGCGAUGAUCAAGCAUGUCCACGGCAACGUUUGA
rnacentral:rRNA from 1 species